CCUACGGGAGGCUGCAGUGGGGAAUAUUGGACAAUGGGGGCAACCCUGAUCCAGCCAUGCCGCGUGUGUGAAGAAGGCCCUCGGGUUGUAAAGCACUUUCAGUGAGGAAGAACGCCUGGUGGUUAAUACCCAUCAGGAAAGACAUCACUCACAGAAGAAGCACCGGCUAACUCCGUGCCAGCAGCCGCGGUAAUACGGAGGGUGCGAGCGUUAAUCGGAAUUACUGGGCGUAAAGCGCGCGUAGGUGGCUUGAUAAGCCGGUUGUGAAAGCCCCGGGCUCAACCUGGGAACGGCAUCCGGAACUGUGAAGCUAGAGUGCAGGAGAGGAAGGUAGAAUUCCCGGUGUAGCGGUGAAAUGCGUAGAGAUCGGGAGGAAUACCAGUGGCGAAGGCGGCCUUCUGGACUGACACUGACACUGAGGUGCGAAAGCGUGGGUAGCAAACAGGAUUAGAUACCCGUGUAGUC
rnacentral:rRNA from 1 species